UCAGAUUGAACGCUGGCGUUAUGACUUACACAUGCAAGUCGAACGGCAGCACGGGUGCUUGCACCUGGUGGCGAGUGGCGAACGGGUGAGUAAUACAUCGGAACAUGUCCUGUAGUGGGGGAUAGCCCGGCGAAAGCCGGAUUAAUACCGCAUACGAUCUACGGAUGAAAGCGGGGGACCUUCGGGCCUCGCGCUAUAGGGUUGGCCGAUGGCUGAUUAGCUAGUUGGUGGGGUAAAGGCCUACCAAGGCGACGAUCAGUAGCUGGUCUGAGAGGACGACCAGCCACACUGGGACUGAGACACGGCCCAGACUCCUACUUUAGGCAGCAGUGGGGAAUUUUGGACAAUGGGCGAAAGCCUGAUCCAGCAAUGCCGCGUGUGUGAAGAAGGCCUUCGGGUUGUAAAGCACUUUUGUCCGGAAAGAAAUCCUUGGCUCUAAUACAGUCGGGGGAUGACGGUACCGGAAGAAUAAGCACCGGCUAACUACGUGCCAGCAGCCGCGGUAAUACGUAGGGUGCGAGCGUUAAUCGGAAUUACUGGGCGUAAAGCGUGCGCAGGCGGUUUGCUAAGACCGAUGUGAAAUCCCCGGGCUCAACCUGGGAACUGCAUUGGUGACUGGCAGGCUAGAGUAUGGCAGAGGGGGGUAGAAUUCCACGUGUAGCAGUGAAAUGCGUAGAGAUGUGGAAGAAUACCGAUGGCCAAAGCAGGCCCCCUGGGCCAAUACUGACGCUCAUGCACGAAAGCGUGGGGAGCAACCAGGAUUAGAUACCCUGGUAGUCCACGCCCUAAACGAUGUCAACUAGUUGUGGGGAUUCAUUUCCUUUAGUAACGUAGCUAACGCGUGAAGUUGACCGCCUGGGGAGUACGGUCGCAAGAUUAAAACUCAAAGGAAUUGACGGGGACCCGCACAAGCGGUGGAUGAUGUGGAUUAAUUCGAUGCAACGCGAAAAACCUUACCUACCCUUGACAUGGUCGGAAUCCCGCUGAGAGGUGGGAGUGCUCGAAAGAGAACCGGCGCACAGGUGCUGCAUGGCUGUCGUCAGCUCGUGUCGUGAGAUGUUGGGUUAAGUCCCGCAACGAGCGCAACCCUUGUCCUUAGUUGCUACGCAAGAGCACUCUAAGGAGACUGCCGGUGACAAACCGGAGGAAGGUGGGGAUGACGUCAAGUCCUCAUGGCCCUUAUGGGUAGGGCUUCACACGUCAUACAAUGGUCGGAACAGAGGGUUGCCAACCCGCGAGGGGGAGCUAAUCCCAGAAAACCGAUCGUAGUCCGGAUUGCACUCUGCAACUCGAGUGCAUGAAGCUGGAAUCGCUAGUAAUCGCGGAUCAGCAUGCCGCGGUGAAUACGUUCCCGGGUCUUGUACACACCGCCCGUCACACCAUGGGAGUGGGUUUUACCAGAAGUGGCUAGUCUAACCGCAAGGAGGACGGUCACCACGGUAGGAUUCAUGACUGGGGUGAAGUCGUAACAAGGUA
rnacentral:rRNA from 1 species